rnacentral:rRNA from 1 species
UACGGGGGGGGCAAGCGUUGUUCGGAAUUACUGGGCGUAAAGGGUGCGUAGGCGGUUUGUCACGUCUGCUGUGAAAUCCCGAGGCUCAACCUCGGGCCUGCAGUGGGUACGGGCAGACUGGAGUGCGGUAGGGGAGAAUGGAAUUCCUGGUGUAGCGGUGGAAUGCGCAGAUAUCAGGAGGAACACCGAUGGCGAAGGCAGUUCUCUGGGCCGUAACUGACGCUCAUGCACGAAAGCGUGGGGAGCAAACAGG